rnacentral:rRNA from 1 species
CCUACGGGCGGCAGCAGUCGAGAAUCAUUCACAAUGGGGGAAACCCUGAUGGUGCGACGCCGCGUGGGGGAAUGAAGGUCUUCGGAUUGUAAACCCCUGUCAUGUGGGAGCAAAUUAAAAAGAUAGUACCACAAGAGGAAGAGACGGCUAACUCUGUGCCAGCAGCCGCGGUAAUACAGAGGUCUCAAGCGUUGUUCGGAAUCACUGGGCGUAAAGCGUGCGUAGGCUGUUUCGUAAGUCGUGUGUGAAUGGUGCGGGCUCAACCCGCGGACGGCACAUGAUACUGCGAGGCUAGAGUAAUGGAGGGGGAACCGGAAUUCUCGGUGUAGCAGUGAAAUGCGUAGAUAUCGGGAGGAACACUCGUGGCGAAGGCGGGUUCCUGGACAUUAACUGACGCUGAGGCACGAAGGCCAGGGGAGCGAAAGGGAUUAGAUACCCCUGUAGUC